UGCCCAUGGUGGCCGGAGAGUGCACGUGCAAACUCAGGUGCAGGCUCCAGCGCUGCCCCUUGGGCAGAGCCUUGCUCCCUCUGGGUCUCCACUGUCCCCUUCCCCAGAAGAGGAGAAGGGGGAGAAGGUCCCAUCUGCUCUGAAAGGACCUGCAGGAAUGCACACCGUCUCCAGGGCCGAGUCCCGGUGCCCCUGAAUCGGUAGCAGAACCGACAUCCGUGGUGCCCUCUUAGCCAGGCACCUGGAUGCAUCUGGAUACAGAGGCGAAACUCUGAAACACAGGACUGGAUAAGAAGAGGGAGUUGCUUGAAGUCACACAGAUGGAUGGGCACAAAAUAGGUGAAACCACAUGACACUGUCUCUCGGCCUGGAGCCUGACACGUCCCCAGGAGUCUUCGUGAGGCUGAAGCCUGGAAGAAAAUGCUGGAACCAUGUACACAGCCGACCCUGGCCAUCGGAUCUCUGAAGAGCGUUUAUGGUUGAACGCAUACAUGUCCCAACAGUUGAGAUUUUUGGAAAAAAGCAUCGCUUUAGCACUCAGAAAAACAAGUCAUGGAUUUCAAAAGAAGACACUAGCAAAUGGCCCUCAGGAAGAGGCCAGUGCGUCCUUGCACUGUGUCCCCUGCAAUAAAGGGGGGCUCACCGCCCUGGGCGGCAGUCCCUCCCUGCCCCCUGCCCCUCCAGCGCCCUGUGCUCAUCACUGUCACUGCUCUCCCCCUGCCCCGCCCCGGGCUUGUCCCUCUACUGGCCAGCCUCCCCCGGAGCCCUGGGCACUCUCCGAGGACGGAGGGUCGCAUCCACGCAUGCCCCUGCGUCUCUGGGCGUGGUCCAGAGCCCGGCCCCAGUGGGGGCCUGAGGAGGGUUUGCUCAGAGCGCUGGGCCUCAGACGUGUUCCCCGAGGGCCUGUUGAAGGAAGUUCCUGCUGCCGCCUGACAGUAAACACAUUCCCUUCUGACCCUUCAGGAAUGCUCCUGGCCCCGGUCCCCGGGUCAGGCCCCAAAAACGAACACUGUGGGCUAAUUACACAACAAGACAGAGCAUUCUGCACUCGGCCUCCGGGCGGCUGACCCUCCGCUCGGCCAUGUGGUCAGCCAGCUGCGGUACAGCCUGUCCCCGGGGAAGGGACCUCCACGCCCUCCGGUCCUGGGCAGCCGCCGCCGGGACCUCCGGGGCAGACAGAACUCGGACCUCAGAAACGAGAGUCUCACUCUGCUUAUGGAACAGAAAGGGUUUCAUUUCCACCCAUGGGUGCGAGAGUGUGCGUGUGCGCCAGCAAAACAGAAACAAAGAUAAAAAACCAUGUAGGACAGGAAACAAAAGGUAA